rnacentral:lncRNA from 1 species
AGAAACAAACAAAAAAUUUUGCAACCACAAAAUUCAUAUAUUGAUGUUUUACAAGGAUGAAAAUCAUUUUUUUUCAAAGUACAAUUAAUUUUGUAACACUUGAAUUGGGUUUUGCUUUCAAGCUUCGGGUUUAUCAAAUAUGAAAGCGUUUUGGCUUUUGACAGAACUUGGAACAUGUAGAACAAAAGGUUAAAGACUCUACCUUUGCUUAGCUCAAUAGCUAUCAAAUUCAAUCAAAAAUAAAUUAAUAUCAAAAUCAAAACCAAUAAAUAAAUAAUAAAAUAAAAUAGAAAAUUAAAGUGUGAAGUAGGAACCAACCAGAACGAAUGAGGCCUCUGUUGUAAGAACCUUUCCUUAAAGAACCCGAAAGCGCAGCACCUUAAUCACGGACGAGGAUGCUCCGGCCACCGCUGCCAUGUUUUCUAAAUUCUAGUAAUGUGCGUUCUUUUCUUUUGUUGUCUCGAAACAAGGGUGAUCAGGGAGGGAUAUAUAUAUAUAAUAAAUGGAGUGGUCCGGGUCAAAGUUAUGGUGUGGGCCUGUGGGGUAUGGCAUGGAUUCUCUGCCGACAGGUUCA